UACGUAGGGUGCAAGCGUUAAUCGGAAUUACUGGGCGUAAAGCGUGCGUAGGCGGCUAUGUAAGACAGAUGUGAAAUCCCUGGGCUUAACCUAGGAACUGCAUUUGUGACUGCAUUGCUAGAGUGUGGUAGAGGGAGAUGGAAUUCCGCAUGUAGCAGUGAAAUGCGUAGAUAUGCGGAGGAACACCGAUGGCGAAGGCAGCCCCCUGGGCUAGCACUGACGCUCAGGCACGAAAGCGUGGGGAGCAAACAGG
rnacentral:rRNA from 1 species